UCGAGAAGAACCUCUCAUGGGUUUCACAAAAAAAAAAAAGAUGGAGAGAUAAAGCCCCCUUGGGGGUUGGUGCACAUAUGGCUUAUGGGUGUUGUCAUCUCGUGUUGAGAGUUUGUGGGAUAUUUCGCGAAAAGUGCGCAAACUUUGUCGUGUAUCCCCAGGGGGUUAUGGGGGGGACUCGCAGGAGACUGCCGGGGUCAACUUAGAGAAAGGGGGGGAUGACGACAAGUUCUCAUGCCCUUUAUGUCCAGGCUUUCACACAUGGCACUAUGGGUGGUACAGAGGGGUGCGAUACCGUGAGGGGGAGCGAAUCCUUUAAACCCAGUCUCAGUUGGGAGUGGUGUGUACAACUCGACCACAAGAAGUGGGAGUCGAUAGUAAUCGCAGAUCAGCAACGGUGCGGAGAAUAUGUUCCCGGGCUUUGUACACCCCCCCCGUCAUGUCGAGAAAGUCGGUAACCCCAGAAGCCGGUGGUCUAACCCUUGUGGAGGGAGCUGUCGAAGGUGGGAUCGGUGAUCGGGGCUAAGUCGUAAUAGUUUAGCUCCUUU
rnacentral:rRNA from 1 species